CGAGGCGCCGCCGAACAAGGCCACGGACGCAGAGGACACACGGGCGGGGAAACCCAGGCGAAACGAGGCACGGGCAGGAGAGGCGAGGGCAACGAAGCACCGGAAGAGGCGCCAGCGCCGCGGGCCACGAGGGAGCAAACGACGAAGGGACCGACAGCGGGAAGAACGCCGGGACCAGCCGCAAGGGGCGGAAAGCGCGAACGCACGAGGGCGAACGACACAGAACAGGCGACGAGGAGCCCGGGGGCGCAGCGCCGACGCCACGGAGGAAGGCCCAGCCGGCAACAACAGCCCCAGACAAGGGGCAGACCAGCGGACGACGGCGCGGCGGGAGGCGAACCCGAGAGACAGCGACUAGACGCGGGGCCACGGCAAAGACGGGCGAAAGGAGGAAGCAAGAGCGGACAGCGAAAGAGAAAGGGCGAAGGAGCGAGAGAGGCAAGAGCGAGCACGAGAAAAGCGAUGAGCGCGGCGCCACG
rnacentral:lncRNA from 1 species